GACGAACGCUGGCGGCGUGCUUAACACAUGCAAGUCGAACGGAAAGGCCCUGCUUGCCGGGUACUCGAGUGGCGAACGGGUGAGUAACACGUGGGUGAUCUGCCCUGCACUUCGGGAUAAGCCUGGGAAACUGGGUCUAAUACCGGAUAGGAGCCAUUUUUAGUGUGAUGGUUGGAAAGUUUUUUCGGUUUAGGAUGAGCUCGCGGCCUAUCAGCUUGUUGGUGGGGUAAUGGCCUACCAAGGCGGCGACGGGUAGCCGGCCUGGGGGGGUGGACGGCCAACUGGGGGCGGAAGAGAGGCCGCAGCGCGGACGGGGGGGGGAGGGGGGGAAGAUGGACCAAGGGGCGCAGGGUGGAUGCAGAGGCGCCGGGGGGGGGAUAACGCUGUUGGGGUUGAAAACGCUUUUCGCAGGGAACGAUGCUUUUUGUGACGGUACCUAAUAAGAAAGCCCCGGCUAACUACGUG
rnacentral:rRNA from 1 species